GUGGAUAUAGCUCAGUUGGUUAGAGCGCCAGGUUGUGGCCCUGGAGGUCAUGGGUUCGAAUCCCAUUAUCCACCCCA
rnacentral:tRNA from 1 species